AGUGUUUGAUCAUGGCUCAGAUUGAACGCUGGCGGCAGGCUUAACACAUGCAAGUCGAACGAUGACUCUCUAGCUUGCUAGAGAUGAUUAGUGGCGGACGGGUGAGUAACAUUUAGGAAUCUGCCUAGUAGUGGGGGAUAGCUCGGGGAAACUCGAAUUAAUACCGCAUACGACCUACGGGUGAAAGGGGGCGCAAGCUCUUGCUAUUAGAUGAGCCUAAAUCAGAUUAGCUAGUUGGUGGGGUAAAGGCCUACCAAGGCGACGAUCUGUAACUGGUCUGAGAGGAUGAUCAGUCACACCGGAACUGAGACACGGUCCGGACUCCUACGGGAGGCAGCAGUGGGGAAUAUUGGACAAUGGGGGCAACCCUGAUCCAGCCAUGCCGCGUGUGUGAAGAAGGCCUUUUGGUUGUAAAGCACUUUAAGCAGGGAGGAGAGGCUAAUGGUUAAUACCCAUUAGAUUAGACGUUACCUGCAGAAUAAGCACCGGCUAACUCUGUGCCAGCAGCCGCGGUAAUACAGAGGGUGCGAGCGUUAAUCGGAAUUACUGGGCGUAAAGCGAGUGUAGGUGGCUCAUUAAGUCACAUGUGAAAUCCCCGGGCUUAACCUGGGAACUGCAUGUGAUACUGGUGGUGCUAGAAUAUGUGAGAGGGAAGUAGAAUUCCAGGUGUAGCGGUGAAAUGCGUAGAGAUCUGGAGGAAUACCGAUGGCGAAGGCAGCUUCCUGGCAUAAUAUUGACACUGAGAUUCGAAAGCGUGGGUAGCAAACAGGAUUAGAUACCCUGGUAGUCCACGCCGUAAACGAUGUCUACUAGCCGUUGGGGUCCUUGAGACUUUAGUGGCGCAGUUAACGCGAUAAGUAGACCGCCUGGGGAGUACGGCCGCAAGGUUAAAACUCAAAUGAAUUGACGGGGGCCCGCACAAGCGGUGGAGCAUGUGGUUUAAUUCGAUGCUACGCGAAGAACCUUACCUGGGAUAUCGUGACUG
rnacentral:rRNA from 1 species